CCAGCAUGCAUGAUUGGCAGGCAGCCGGACAUGCAUUAAUGCUAGACUAGCCUUCCAAUUCUUUGGGCAGACACGCCUCCUUUUGGGCAUGUUCGGCCCUUUCGGAAUUUCUGGUUACAUAAUCCGCAUCACUGACCCACCCUUUUACACCGCCCAUUGACUUCCUGCUUGACUGGACACUGCUGUUAGGGAGUAUGGAUUUACUUGAAAGAUGAAAGCAUAAUUUAGAGAGAGAUUAGCAUAUUUUAGGAGAACUGAGUUUUCUUAUAGCUGCAUCCUAUGAGUUUCCCUCCGGCAACAUCUCCACCAGAUACAUAAUGCUUGAGAGGUAUGUCUGUUUCAGUUUUUUUGGUCGAUAAGAUUCUGUACUUAGGCCCCUCAUAAUUGUCAGCACCAGGCCCACUGGGCUCUUAAUCCGGCCCUG